rnacentral:rRNA from 1 species
AUGGCGCUGAUCCUUGGGUUUCUCAAAGGCCAAAAACGCCCCCUUGGGAUGCAGCAGAGUUAUUAUGACCAAAACACACUCAGGGGGGCACCAUGGCAAGUUCAGUCACAGGGCGCUAACACUGACAAAUGUACGGGCAGCCAACUUCAACUAGCUAAUGUGGCAAAUAAAGAACCUUCAUGCAGCACGUGGCAUCAGGCGGCACCCAUGUACGUGCCAUCAACGUCAUACACAGGUUAUUAUGGUGGUGCUACCUCGGCAAACGUCUCAUGGCAAGCUUCACAGAUUGCAGACAGAGCACGUCAAUUUGGUGUGACAGACCACACAAGAUGGGCACAUGCGGCACAACAAGGGCCUUCAACUACAAUCAACAGUGGCGCGGGGACAUCUACUGCGGGGAGCUCUGAGCGCACGGAAGACGCGUUCCACCAGCCAGCCAACAAUCAUGCUGCAAAAAAUGCCGAGUCAGAGUCGGAAAUGGCAAUCAUUCCAGCAAUGCCGACAAGCACACCUUUGAACACAAGCACUGGCAACACUCAAGUAGAUGAAACUGCCGCCGAUACUGAAGUGAAUUAUGAAAUUGAUGACGAAGCACAAGGGGAUGAAGAUGGUGGGCAAUCAGAGAUCAUGGUACCUCAGCCACCUUACGUUGGGCAGAGAUUUGAAUCGUUCGCAGAGGCAAAGGAAUUCUACCAGACAUAUGCAAAGUUCCAUGGAUUUGCGGUCAACACCGAAUACCAUAGGAAAAUUAAGAAAACUAACGAGUACAGCAGAGGUGAGAUGAGGUGCCACAAGGCACGAAGGAACAAGAAGGGGAAAGGUGUUGCGCCUGUCGUUCCGGAACGAAAGAGAGGUAUCAUUCUCAAGACGGAAUGCCCUGUCCGGUGUAAGCUAAACGUAGAUGGAGCACAGUGGGUGGUCACUGAAUAUUUUGACGAGCACAACCACAAACUCAUAAAGAAGUUCGACCUGGUAAAAUUUCUGACUGCCCACAGAGGAUUCACCCCCCUUGAGAAGAAAUUCAUAAAGUUGCUACAUGAUUGUAACGUCGGUCCAUCAAGAAUGGUCCAGAUACUAUCACUCAUCCACAGCAAAAAAGGGACUUUGAGUAGCAUGCCCUACAUACCAGCUGACGUCACAAACCUAAAGGCAAAAUUCCAGGAAGAAAUAAAGCGUGCCAGCAUGUACACGGCUUUCCAGGUGGACGAACAUACGUUCAAGGUGUGUUCUAUCAUGGGCAUGUCGGAUUCAGAACCUGAAGACCCAGACAAGGGAAGGAACUACUUUGUGAAGGCAUCGAUAAGCGAAGGCGAAUACUACUGCCAAUGCUGCAAAUUCGAACGGGACGGGAUUGUGUGCUAUCACAUUCUAAAAGUAAUGGACUUGAACGUGGUGACACGAAUGCCCCGCCAUUUCAUAAGGCGGCGAUGGACUUGGGACGCUGACGCCGCAUUGGCGCCGCAAACAUCAAACGCAGUUUUGGCCGUGCAUGACGAGAGACCAGAGUCAACCAUGGAAGCCGUGAGGCACGUUGUGUUGACAAAGAACUAUGCUGAACUAAUUGAUGAAGCGUGCAAGAGUGAUGAGACAACAAAGGUCGCAGAAAAACACAGGAAGGCCCUCAAAAGAGAGCUUGAUGAGAUCAAGAAGAGGAAAGCUGAGGAAGCCUUACACAGGUUCCCCCGCACAUCAAGUGUACCUUCGUCCACAGGGCCAUCAUCUGAAAACUCGGAGGUAGGAUCUGGAACAGCAAGCACACAAACACAGGUUAGGAACCCGCCCCGUUCCAUCACAAAAGGGCGUCCAAAAGAGAUAAGAUACAAAUCGGGAUUGGAGAUUCAAGCAAAACAUAAGAAACCAAAGAAAGGGACGGGCAAUCCGUAA